CCUACGGGUGGCAGCAGUGAGGAAUAUUGGUCAAUGGACGAGAGUCUGAACCAGCCAAGUAGCGUGAAGGAUGACUGCCCUAUGGGUUGUAAACUUCUUUUAUAUGGGAAUAAAAUGUUCCACGUGUGGGAUUUUGUAUGUACCAUAUGAAUAAGGAUAGGCUAACUCCGUGCCAGCAGCCGCGGUAAUACGGAGGAUCCGAGCGUUAUCCGGAUUUAUUGGGUUUAAAGGGAGCGUAGGUGGAUUGUUAAGUCAGUUGUGAAAGUUUGCGGCUCAACCGUAAAAUUGCAGUUGAAACUGGCAGUCUUGAGUACAGUAGAGGUGGGCGGAAUUCGUGGUGUAGCGGUGAAAUGCUUAGAUAUCACGAAGAACUCCGAUUGCGAAGGCAGUUCACUGGACUGCAACUGACGCUGAGGCUCGAAAGUGUGGGUAUCAAACAGGAUUAGAUACCCCUGUAGUC
rnacentral:rRNA from 1 species